UACAGAGGUCUCAAGCGUUGUUCGGAUUCAUUGGGCGUAAAGGGUGCGUAGGUGGCGCUGUAAGUCAGGUGUGAAAUUUCGGAGCUUAACUCCGAAACUGCAUUUGAUACUGCGGUGCUUGAGGACUGGAGAGGAGACUGGAAUUCACGGUGUAGCAGUGAAAUGCGUAGAUAUCGUGAGGAAGACCAGUGGCGAAGGCGGGUCUCUGGACAGUUCCUGACACUGAGGCACGAAGGCCAGGGGAGCAAACGGGG
rnacentral:rRNA from 1 species